UAACAGCUGAGUGCGUAAUUAAUUUCACGAAAUGGAUAAGGCAUUGAACAUGUAUUCAAUUGAACUACAGCGCAACGCAAGUCGUAAAAGUAAAGUGUGGGAGUUUUUUAGUUUAAUUUGUUAUUUCGCUUGACUCACUUAUUAAUAAAAGGAAAAAAAAAA